rnacentral:lncRNA from 1 species
UAUUUGACCAUAUGAGUUUUUCGUCAUUUGUGCAUCUAUUUAUGCCAAUCUUUACUAUUUCAUUUUUAUUAUUAACAGAUCAAAGUUGUUUUUUUUCCAAUUGAACAAAAAACAUACGAAGAUUAUCUUAUAAUUAAUUAUCAAAAUGUAACUUAGAAAAAACAGAAGAAAAAAAACAAGAAAAAAAAACGGAAUAAAUAAAAAUUUUACCAUUUUUUUUUUAUGAUAGAUAUACAAGUUAUAUGUGAUCAACAGAUACAUACGGAUGUAUGUUGAAACAGUGUAUAUAUGUAAAUAUAUUUACUUAGUGAUGCAUUUUUGAACAGUCUUAAAUAAUCACACAUGUUUUGUAUAUAUAUAUAUAUAUAUAUAUUUAUGUUAUUACGUUGGUAGGGACUAAAUACUUACACAAAGAUUCAAGGAAAAGGAAUAGUCGCUGAUGUUGUUGUAGAAAAUGAGAAAGUCAUUAUGGAUGAUAUUUAUAUAAAUGAACAAAAAGAAAUUAGUGUUUUUAUUAACAACAAGUCUUUUUUUCCAUUAACAUACAAUAUUAUAAAAUACGAUGUUUAUGAAUAUAAAUAUGAUGACCCGACAUUAGACAUAACCGAUGUUAUUUUUGAAGAAUCUGAUAAAAUUAUUGAAAGAAAGUAUAUAACAGAUAAAGAUUUGACAAAUGAAAGUAUUAUAGAAAAUGUGUUAUAUAACAAUGAAGAAGAUGCGAUACGGUGUGAAGAUAGUUAUAGUAGUGAACGGAGCGAUAGUAGCGAUAAAAGUGGCGAUAGUAGCGAUAGAAGUGGCAAUAGUAGCGAUAGAAGUGGCAAUAGUAGCGACAAAAGUGACAGCAGAAGCGANNNNNNNNNNAGCGAUAGAAGUGGCAAUAGUAGCGACAAAAGUGACAGCAGAAGCGACAAAAGUGGCAAUAGAAGCGACAACAUCAAUAGCGACGAUAAUUCACUAGCAAGUGCAAAUGCAAAUUCAAAUGGUAAACCAUCAUAUAAGGACGUAAAAAAUAAGUCAGAUAAUAUACAACAAGUCGUUAAAACUGAAAAUAUUCCGAAUAUUCCAACAAUUCUUUGUUUACUUCGGAUGAUUAUGUACAUAAGAAAAAGAAGGCCCUGAAAAAGUUGUUACAUAUUUAUCCUCGUUACAAAAAGUUAUAUAAUGAUACUAACACACCUGUUAACAUAACUAUUUGUCCAUCUUUUGCUUCGUUUUAUAAAAUAGUAUUAUAUUUAUUUAUAAAGGGGUAUAAGAAAAAAGAAAAAAUAGAAUUGUAUUUAAAAAGUAAAGCACAUGAAAUAAUAAUAGCAAAUGAUGUAUAUAAAAUUGAUAAUAUUCUUAUAAAUACUUUUGAAAAUAUUUCAUUUGAUUUGAUAAAUUGUAGCAAAUAUGACGUGCCAAUAAAAAUCGAGAAAGUAAAUGACA